UAGUGCUUCUUUUCACUUCACUUCUAUUCCUCUUUCUUCCUCUUCUUACUUUCUCUGCGAUGGCUACUCAAUUUUCCAUUUCAUUCUUUCAGGCGGUUGCACAGAAAGUCAAGGAAGCUGAAAUCACCGACCAGGAUUCACAUCUUCUGGAAUCAAGUUCCUGGUUAGCAAUAGGAGCUGCAUUUGGACUUUUACCUCCAAAAGAGCAGGUUGAUGUUGACAUAGCAACCCAGAUAAACAUUACUGAUGAUGGCCGAGAUCGAAGGUCCUAAUCCUAAACAUAAUCCCCACCACCCUCGUCCACCUAUAGAAUCCCAGAAUAUGCAUAUUAACAAUGACUAUAAUGACCAAGGGUCUAACCUCAAGCAUGGUCAUCCACACCAUCCUCCCCUGUGAAGAGUGAAGACCGUGUCUUAGAAAUGUCCAGAUUACAUUGAGUUCAAUCUCAUAUUAUCGUUGUAUUUAUAGGCGAAACUGUGAGCAAUGGUUGAUGAUGACAUUAAAUAAUCAUUAGCGCAAUAAAUGUCAUAUGUUUAGGGAAAAGCUUCUAAGUUUCA